AAUCACUGUUUAAUGAUUAAUUACUGCAGGCUGGUGUCAGGGUGAGACAUUCAAGGCUUCAGGCAAAAGUCUUAACUAUAGAAAAUGACAGCAGGUGGGAUUUUGCCAAAAAGAGUAACUUUGCACUUCUAGUUCUAAUGAUUUGCAGUGCCUUUUGAUCCAUUUGUAAACAGCAAGAUGGUAAAAGACUAAAACUAUCUGGUAAUAAAUGCCAACAAUAACAAGAAAUUGUUCCCUGAGAAAGUCUUAGGAUGUCUGGUCACAUGGAGAAGAUGCUGUACCUAGAUCUUUUGGAACAAAGUAGGGACUAUUGGGCCUUAUUCUCUCAGAUCAUCUCCAAUAAAGAAUGAACUCAGUCUCCAAUCACUAGGACAAGGAAGAUAAAGACUCAGAAAAAAGGGGACUGGGGUUUAUGGAAGCAAUGAUGCUGAGGAGAUGGACCUGGAAAUCCUGACUCCAUUGUGGAUGUUGGUGUUGUAGUCAUGCUGCUUUCUUUGCCAGAUCCAGAGCUAGCAUCAACCCUGUGGGGAGCUUUGGGAUGGUAACCAGCCUCUUAUGGGGAACAGAAGAGUUAUGGACAGACAGCAUCCCUGUGCUGGGGCUCCUAGGAGUACUGCCAUCUCAGCCUGACUUAACGGAGCUUAGAAUUGGCUUUCAGUGAUAGUUUUUUGGACUACUGGAAUCCUUUGAAUAUUGGAGAAGCUUUCUGCCUACUUUUGCCUUCCUGUGUCCUGAGCACAACUCUGGAGGAGGAAAGUCAGUGGCCCCUCAAGAUUUAACCUCAGCACUGUUAGUUAGAGCUCUGCUCCAUUUACAGGAGAUGAGCCUCGGAUUGACAUAAUGAGGGCAUAAGGGAUCAAAGAUGUUUAAAAGUUUUUUGUUUUUUCUUGUUAGUUUUUAGGAAUAUGUCUUUAAAACUGGCUAUCAAUUUGCAUGUGUUGUGGUUUAAGCUAGCAGUGGCUGAGCACCAUACAGUCGUUCACUCACUCCCCUGCUUCCCACUGGGAUGGGGCAGACAAUUAAAAAAAUAGAAUUCAUGGGUUGAGAUAAAACUAAGAUAGAUAAAAUGAAAAGGAAAAUAGUUGUGACUAUAUGUAUAUAUAUAUAUGUAUAUAAGUGUAUAUAACAAGUGCUGCACAUGUGGUGAUGGUAUCUUAUGAUGGAGAAUAUCCCUUUGGCCAUUUUAAGUUAUCUGUCCUAAUUCUGUUCCCUCCCAGCUCCUUAUGCCCUUCACUGAGAACAGCCUUGGCUCUAUACAGCUCUGCUUAGCAACAACUAUAAACAUCAGUGUGUUAUCAACAUUGUUUUUCUUCUGGAACCAAAAACUUAGCAUCAUACCAGACACCCUGAAGAAAACAAUUCCAUCCCAGCUGAAAAUAAGAUGCUGUGGAAGUGUGUAUAUGUAAAAUUAUCCACUAGAAAUAAGAUUCAAUUAUCUCCUACCUACGUAUAUAAGAAUUGUAUUUGUGCUUUAGAAAAGCCUAGGUUAAUCUUCUUUAGGCUAUCCUUUGUCAGAAAUGCAAAAUGAGUGAAAAUCUUACCAUUUGCAUUUGGUAUCAUGUUGCAAUCACUUUGUGCGUGUGUCAGUGAGACAGAGCAAUUGGCAGAGCAACAGAGAAAUAGAUCUUCCAUCUCAAGUGCCUUUGUCUUCCAUAAAAUGGGAAAAGCUUUUAAUUCAAAGAAGGGGUAUUUCAUGAUAUAUAGCUUGGGAUUCCACCUUCCUUCCUCAGUAUCUUUAAUGAAGCCAAAAUCAUACCAUUUUCUUUCAAGUGAAUGCAGAUCUGAUUAGCGCUGGGAACACUUCUUGUAACUGGUGAAAAUACUUUUUCUUUCCCAGGGAAAAGCAAUAUCUUGUAUUACAUGCUAUUGACAGCCAAAAAAUGUUUAUGCUUUUGGAAAAGAGGGAGGAAAAAAAGGGUCACUUUUCAAUCUUCUGUAAACAUAUUAAAUAACUUCCAAUGAAGUAAAAAAGAAAAUUAUGUAAAGCAGAGGAUGUAGUAAAAGCUUUUUUUUUUUUUUUUUUGAGGAAAAAAUUUGACCUA
ensembl:lncRNA